GAUGAACGCUGGCGGCGUGCCUAAUACAUGCAAGUCGAGCGAACAGACGAGGAGCUUGCUCCUCUGACGUUAGCGGCGGACGGGUGAGUAACACGUGGAUAACCUACCUAUAAGACUGGGAUAACUUCGGGAAACCGGAGCUAAUACCGGAUAAUAUAUUGAACCGCAUGGUUCAAUAGUGAAAGACGGUUUUGCUGUCACUUAUAGAUGGAUCCGCGCCGCAUUAGCUAGUUGGUAAGGUAACGGCUUACCAAGGCAACGAUGCGUAGCCGACCUGAGAGGGUGAUCGGCCACACUGGAACUGAGACACGGUCCAGACUCCUACGGGAGGCAGCAGUAGGGAAUCUUCCGCAAUGGGCGAAAGCCUGACGGGGCAACGCCGCGUGUGUGAUGAAGGUCUUCGGAUCGUAAAACUCUGUUAUUAGGGAAGAACAAAUGUGUAAGUAACUAUGCACGUCUUGACGGUACCUAAUCAGAAAGCCCCGGCUAACUACGUG
rnacentral:rRNA from 1 species